ACCGUGAGGGAAAGGUGAAAAGAACCCCGGGAGGGGAGUGAAAUAGAACCUGAAAUUGUGUGCUUACAAGCGGUCAGAGCCAGUGAUGGUGAUGGCGUGCCUUUUGGAGAAUGAUCCUGCGAGUUACGUUAAACGGCGAGGUUAAGUAUAACGGAGCCGAAGGGAAACCAAGUCUUAAUAGGGCGAUUUAGUCGUUUGGCGUAGACGCGAAACCUGGUGAUCUAAACCUGUCCAGGAUGAAGCUGUGGUAAGACACAGUGGAGGUCCUAACCCACCGCCGUUGAAAAGUUGGGGGAUGAGGUAGGUUUAGGGGUGAAAAGCCAAUCGAACCAGGAGAUAGCUCGUUCUCUCCGAAAUGCAUCUAGGUGCAGCCUUGAGUGUUCAAUUAUGGGGGUAGAGCACUGAAUGAUCUAGGGGGCGUAUUGCUUACUGAAAUCAAUCAAACUCCGAAUACCAUAAUUUAGAGCUCAGGAGUGAGACUAUGGGAGUUAACUUCCAUUGUCGAAAGGGAAACAACCCAGACCACCAGCUAAGGUCCCUAAUUAUAACUAAGUGGGAAAGGAGGUGGAGAUUCACAAACAACUAGGAGGUUGGCUUAGAAGCAGCCAUACCUUUAAAGAGUGCGUAAUAGCUCACUAGUCGAGAGUCUCUGCGCCGACAAUGUAACGGGGCUAAGUUAUAAACCGAAGCUGUGGAAUCCGUAAGGAUUGGUAGGAGAGCGUUCUGUAGGCCGUUGAAGGAGAAGGGUAACCGACUCUGGAGGUAUCAGAAGUGAGAAUGCAGGAAUAAGUAGCGAGAAAGGGGGCGAGAAUCCCCCUCGCCGGAAGACCAAGGUUUUCAGGGUAAAGCUUGUCUUCCCUGAGUAAGCCGGGACCUAAGCCCAGGCUAUAAUGCGUAGGCGAAUGGAAAACAGAUUAAUAUUUCUGUGCCAGUCAUAUAUUGUGAUGGAGGGACGCAGAAGGGUAUGCACGCGGACGAACGGAAGUGUCCGUAGAAGUAUGUAGGAUGACUUGAUAGGAAAAUCCAUUGAGUUAUAUCUGAGGUAUGAUAUACAGUCGUAAGAUGAAUGCGCAAAUCCCACGCUGCCAAGAAAAGCUUCUAACGUUAAUAUUUGACUGCCCGUACUGCAAACCGACACAGGUGGUCAGGAUGAGAAAUCUAAGGCGGACAGGCUAACUCUCGUUAAGGAACUCUGCAAAAUAACCUCGUAACUUCGGGAGAAGAGGAGCCCUUGAGGGUCAGUAUCCACGCGAUACAAAGCACUCGAGGGUCGCAGUGAAGAGGCUCAAGCAACUGUUUAACAAAAACACAGGUCUAUGCUAAGCUGGAAGGCGAUGUAUAUGGGCUGACACCUGCCCAGUGCUGGAAGGUUAAGAGGAGGAGUGAGAGCUCCGAAUUGAAGCCCCAGUGAACGGCGGCCGUAACUAUAACGGUCCUAAGGUAGCGAAAUUCCUUGUC
rnacentral:rRNA from 1 species